rnacentral:tRNA from 1 species
GAUUAAUUAGUUUAUUAAAAAUAUUAGUUUGUGGAACUAAAGAAUCUAUUAGUCA